rnacentral:rRNA from 1 species
AUUGAACGCUGGCGGCAGGCCUAACACAUGCAAGUCGAACGAGGCGCGGACGGGCGAGUAAUGUCUGGGACACUGCCUGAUGGAGGGGGAUAACUACUGGAAACGGUAGCUAAUACCGCAUUCCCUCGGAUGUUCCCAGAUGGGAGUAGCUUGUAGUUGGGGUAACGGCUCACCUCGGCGACGAUCCCUAGCUGGUCUGAGAGGAUGACCAGCCACACUGGAACUGAGACACGGUCCAGACGCCUACGGGAGGCAGCAGUGGGGAAUAUGGGACAAUGGGCGCAAGCCGGAUGCAGCCAUGCCGCGGGUAUGAAGAAGGCCUUCGGGUUGUAAAGUACUUUCAGCGGGGAGGCGUUACCCGCAGAAGAAGCACCGGCUAACUCCGUGCCAGCAGCCGCGGUAAUUC